UUGUUGGUAAGGUAAAAGCUUACCAAGGCUUCGAUCAGUAGCUGGUCUGGGAGGACGACCAGCCACACUGGGACUGAGACACGGCCCAGACUCCUACGGGAGGCAGCAGUGGGGAAUUUUGGACAAUGGGGGCAACCCUGAUCCAGCCAUGCCGCGUGAGUGAAGAAGGCCUUCGGGUUGUAAAGCUCUUUCAGCCGGAACGAAACGGUUACGGUUAACACCCGUGACUACUGACGGUACCGGAAGAAGAAGCACCGGCUAACUACGUGCCAGCAGCCGCGGUAAUACGUAGGGUGCGAGCGUUAAUCGGAAUUACUGGGCGUAAAGCGUGCGCAGGUGGUUUUGUAAGUCAGAUGUGAAAGCCCCGGGCUCAACCUGGGAACUGCGUUUGAAACUACAAGACUAGAGUGUGGCAGAGGGGGGUGGAAUUCCGCGUGUAGCAGUGAAAUGCGUAGAGAUGUGGAGGAACACCGAUGGCGAAGGCAGCCCCCUGGGUCAACACUGACGCUCAGGCACGAAAGCAUGGGGAGCAAACAGGAUUAGAUACCCUGGUAGUCCAUGCCCUAAACGAUGUCAACUAGUUGUCGGGCCUUUACGGGCUUGGUAACGUAGCUAACGCGUGAAGUUGACCGCCUGGGGAGUACGAUCGCAAGAUUAAAACUCAAGUGAAUUGACGGGGACCCGCACAAGCGGUGGAUUAUGUGGAUUAAUUCGAUGCAACGCGAAAAACCUUACCUACCCUUGACAUGUAUCGAAGCCCGCAGAAAAGCGGGGGUGCCCGAAAGGGAACGAUAACACAGGUGCUGCAUGGCUGUCGUCAGCUCGUGUCGUGAGAUGUUGGGUUAAGUCCCGCAACGAGCGCAACCCUUGUCAUUAAUUGCCAUCAUUUAGUUGGGCACUUUAAUGAGACUGCCGG
rnacentral:rRNA from 1 species